rnacentral:rRNA from 1 species
UACGGGGGGAGCAAGCGUUGUUCGGAUUCAUUGGGCGUAAAGGGUGCGUAGGUGGCGUCGUAAGUCGGGUGUGAAAUCUCGGGGCUUAACUCCGAAACUGCAUUCGAUACUGCGGUGCUUGAGGACUGGAGAGGAGACUGGAAUUUACGGUGUAGCAGUGAAAUGCGUAGAGAUCGUAAGGAAGACCAGUGGCGAAGGCGGGUCUCUGGACAGUUCCUGACACUGAGGCACGAAGGCCAGGGGAGCAAACGGG